CCCCUUAUAAAUUUCGGAACUAGCCCCUACCCCCAAACGACCUGACAGACCCAUUCUUCACCCUCUCUUAACCUCCUCCCUAUGCCGCCGCCGGAAAUCGCCCACGGCAACGGCCUGUCUCCAAUCACCUCCACAUUUUCACCAGACAACCACCAUAUUCUUGUCAUCUCAUAUAUCUUCUCCAUUCCCCUCAAAACUCUCUAGAGUUUCUCGAUUUGUAGAUCAACAAACUAAAGCCCUAGAUUUUCCCUCCUUUUUAAUGAUCAACCACACCAGGGCUCCUACGACGAUGUUGCUUAUAUCAAUCAACUAGUUUCGUGAGACUUUUCGAUUAAAGUUAGUUUCGCAUCGUUUCAUGGCCGCCGGAAUUCGGUCAAAAUCCGUUGACUGGCCAGCAUCUUCUUCAAGCGAUUCCAUUCUGUUUCCCUGGCCUUGCAAGAGAAAUUGUCACAUAUAACACUAACUGUAUGAGGAAACUCCGGCUAGUGCUUGUGUAACAACUUCUCCGACUUGCCGAAACUUUCUUUUGGCGUCCCAUUUAGCUCAAAUAGAAUGAGAUGCCAUUUGAAUGAGUGAAAACCAUAGCUUGGAGAAGUUUCUUUUGUGGAGAAUAUGUAACGGAAGCAUGAAAGUAGUUUGUUUUGUUUUAGAUUAGCAUAUCUUGUAAUUUAUGAUAUCAAUUCUCAGAUCUCUUUGAUUAUGUAUGAGACAAAGCUGUUUGAUCAUAAAAUAUUUUUGCUUAGUAUUGUUGGCCGAA